AGUGAACGCUGGCGGUAGGCCUAACACAUGCAAGUCGAACGGCAGCACAGUAAGAGCUUGCUCUUACGGGUGGCGAGUGGCGGACGGGUGAGGAAUACAUCGGAAUCUACUUUUUCGUGGGGGAUAACGUAGGGAAACUUACGCUAAUACCGCAUACGACCUACGGGUGAAAGCAGGGGAUCUUCGGACCUUGCGCGAUUGAAUGAGCCGAUGUCGGAUUAGCUAGUUGGCGGGGUAAAGGCCCACCAAGGCGACGAUCCGUAGCUGGUCUGAGAGGAUGAUCAGCCACACUGGAACUGAGACACGGUCCAGACUCAUACGGGAGGCAGCAGUGGGGAAUAUUGGACAAUGGGCGCAAGCCUGAUCCAGACACACCGCGUGGGUGAAGAAGGCCUUCGGGUUGUAAAGCCCUUUUGUUGGGAAAGAAAAGCAGCAGGUUAAUACCCCGCUGUUCUGACGGUACCCAAAGAAUAAGCACCGGCUAACUUCGUG
rnacentral:rRNA from 1 species